rnacentral:rRNA from 1 species
AUUGAACGCUGGCGGCAGGCCUAACACAUGCAAGUCGAACGGAGUGGCGGACGGGUGAGUCAUGUCUGGGAAACUGCCCGAUGGAGGGGGAUAACUACUGGAAACGGUAGCUAAUACCGCAUACUAUCAUAGGCGCCUAGGUCGGAUUAGCUAGUUGGUGGGGUAAAGGCCUCCGAGGGCGAAGAUCCGUAACUGGUCUGAGAGGAUGAUCAGUCACACUGGAACUGAGACACGGUCCAGACUCCUACGGGAGGCAGCAGUGGGGAAUAGUGGACAAUGGGCGAAAGCCUGAUCCAGCCAUGCCGCGUGUGAUAAGAAGGUCUUCGGAGUGUAAAGCACUUUAAGUUGGGAGGCGUUACCAACAGAAUAAGCCACGGCUAACUACGUGCCAGCAGCCGCGGUAAUUC